GUCGGAAUAGUUUAGUGGGGUAGAACAGCGGGAUCAUAAUUCGCACACGGGGGUUCGAAUCCCUCUUCCGAUA
rnacentral:tRNA from 4 species